GGGCGCUCCCACGCACAGUGCUCUCCCAGCGGCCGGAGCCCGGGAAACCCCGGUCGGCGGAAUCCACGGAGAGGAUGGCGAAGGAGAAGGAAGAGGUGGAGCAGGAAUCCCCGAGGAAGGGAACGGGGCGGGAGAAAAGAGGCAGCCGGGAAAACGCGACUGUCGCCUCGGAAUUCUGGACACGAACGACACUAAUAAAUGAAAGUUCUGAGUGCGCAGGAAUGUUAAUCUAUUCUCGAACUCCCUCCGCUCAUCUCAGGCACCUGCCCCGUGCCGAUGCUUAGUGAAUGUCCGUAACCAAACUGUCGUGGAAUUUUCUUACAUGCUCCUUUCUUUUUCUUCCUUCGUUUCUUUCAUUUGAUGAAUGAAUUGUUGAUUACCUGCCGUGUCAGAUAUUGUGGCGGGCACAGGAGAUAUUCAUUUGAAUUUGGCACAGGUUCCAUCUCAAAUUCCUGUGGAGGAGGCAGAUAAAUACCACAUUUUAAGUUGGAGCCCGAAGAUGAGGAAACUGAGUCUCACCCCAACUCCCCCACCAAGUCCCUGAUACUCCAGCUAAAUUGAAGCCAAGUAUUGCGUGUAUGUACCCUGAAUUGCCCAUGAUGUCCCCCCAGGUUGGAUACUUAUGUUAUUGCCAACAUUUUGCUACCACGAACACCAACAUACAUAGAGCGAUCUUACGCAGACUGCCUUUCACACAGGCGAGUGGUGGAAAAAUGGGUUAUGCCCUGGAAACACAAAGGCAGUUUCAAGAAAAUUCAUUGCAAUUGUGUUUGUAAUCAUGAAAAACUGGAUCAACUCAGAUGUCCUUCAACAGAAGAAUGUCUAUAUAAAUUGUGCCAUAUUCACACAAUUCGGAUACCAUUUAGCAGUUAAAAUGAAUAAAGUAGAGCUACGUGCAUGAUUAGAUGGAUCUUACAACAUAGAAUUGAGUAAAACAACAUAAACUGACUGGGUU